GUCCUACCAGCCGGAGAGCUACCAUCACCCCUACCUUUGCAAGAAGACGUCUCGCCGGGGAUACAGAGUCAAGUCCUGCAUCUACAGCCAAUCUGAUGGUCAAAGAUUCCCUCUAGCACUGCUGAUGUGUUGCUGAUGUGCUUGAUUGGUUGCCAUGCCAACCUUUGCAGAACCACUGUCUUGCAGUGUGGUGUGGCCAACUAUCGCUACCCCUCACUUCCCAGACAAUCCACUUGCUUGUACUUUUCCAUGGCUGACGGUUUCUAUGGCAACAAAAGGGGAGGAAGAUGAGGCUGUGGCUUGACAGAGGACUGUCAAGCAGACAGCGCAGGGGCGGCCGGGAUCCUCACGAGGAAAACGUGUCCUUGUACGACUACGGCAGGAACAAUAGGUCAACACAUACCAAUGGCCGCAGCAGCAAGGACCCAGCCCUGGCACAUGGGGCGCCAGCUCCACCAGAGACAUCAAAUCCAAACGGCUUGCUGUGGUAAGACUGUCCUCCCUGAGACGACAAAACGGUGGAGCAAGACAUUCAAAAGUUAAUUUAGUAAUGCAAUAAAGUCCUAGGAUGAAAAUGAAACAGUCAACAGUUUUGAGUGUUGCUCAAAUUCUCUACCUUUAGUGCUAGUUGAUGUGUAAUGCAUGCAGGGAUACUUGGCUUGCGGUACAAGAACGCACAUAGAGAGAUACUGUAUUUCCUGGCCAGGAGCAGUAACUUCCUGGUGUUUCACUUGUUGCCUGGCAACAGCAUCUAGCCAAUAAAUAAUCCAGCAAAUAUUCCUUCCUGAAAAACCCUUGACUUGACCUUUUUACACUUUGUUUUUUGUACGAAUAAAAAACACAAUAUAAAACACAUUAGUUAAUGAGCUUUCUAGGUUAUGGUAUUUAUAUUCCAAUUGUGUUACCUCGGGACAGCGCCAGGCUAGCUGUUUUAUGCUAAACUGAGCUGCCUGUAGGAUCAUAUCAACUGUACAAACAUAUGAGAUCCUAUAUAAGCAUAUUUCCCAAAAUGUCAAACUAUUGCUUCAACUUGCAUGAGGCCCAUUUAGAUAAGAAAGAUGAUGGUGAACAAUGUACUGACCCCCCCCCCGCAGUAUUCUGGCUGGUCUGAGCAGCAUGCCGGCCACAGAGGGCUGUCAUCUGAUUUUUAAUUGCAGCCGCAGUGGCUAUAAUCAGAUCUUAUUGGAAUGUGCCCAUGCAAAGCCAGCAGCCGUGAUUUAGAGCCCGAGAGUGAUGGCCAGACAUCGAUUCCAUAACCUUUCCUAAAUUAUCCAGGCAACACAGAGGAUUGUGUCUCUCUUUUCUCUCACUCAGUCUCCCUCUUAUCAGUUGUCACUAUAAUGAGCAGCAGGAUUUUUUUGGGGGGGUGGGGGGGUGGACACGCAGCAGUGAGAGUCCAGCGUGCACACACAGUGGGGAUGAACUGCAAUUGAUUAGCUGUGCGGCCAUCUCAGACAGCUCAGUCUCAGCGCGGGCCGCACUUUGAUACUGGAUGACAGCAAAGUAAAUGUCUGCCGAGAUAAUGAGGUGGCCUCGACACGCCUUACGUGUCAGUACUCUACCAAUCAAUGCGUGUGUGUAAACAGCCAAUAAAAUUGGCCCUGUGUCUGCAUGCAUGUGUGUAAGUGGCAUAUUUUGAACUGAGGCCAAAAGAAACAGGACUAUUCACAGU